rnacentral:rRNA from 1 species
UGGGGAAUAUUGCACAAUGGGCGCAAGCCUGAUGCAGCCAUGCCGCGUGUGUGAAGAAGGCCUUCGGGUUGUAAAGCACUUUCAUCGGGGAGGAAGGCGAUAAGGUUAAUAACCUUGUCGAUUGACGUUACCCGCAGAAGAAGCACCGGCUAACUCCGUGCCAGCAGCCGCGGUAAUACGGAGGGUGCAAGCGUUAAUCGGAAUUACUGGGCGUAAAGCGCACGCAGGCGGUCUGUCAAGUCGGAUGUGAAAUCCCCGGGCUCAACCUGGGAACUGCAUUCGAAACUGGCAGGCUAGAGUCUUGUAGAGGGGGGUAGAAUUCCAGGUGUAGCGGUGAAAUGCGUAGAGAUCUGGAGGAAUACCGGUGGCGAAGGCGGCCCCCUGGGAAAAGACUGACGCUCAGGUGCGAAAGCGUGGGGAGCAAACAGG